AUUCAGCUGACGAGUAACAAAUAGGACGAAAUGCGCGUUCUGGAU
rfam:Schistosoma haematobium scaffold278_11, whole genome shotgun sequence.